GUGGGGAAUAUUGGACAAUGGGCGCAAGCCUGAUCCAGCCAUGCCGCGUGAGUGAUGAAGGCCUUAGGGUUGUAAAGCUCUUUCACCGAUGAAGAUAAUGACGGUAGUCGGAGAAGAAGCCCCGGCUAACUUCGUGCCAGCAGCCGCGGUAAUACGAAGGGGGCUAGCGUUGUUCGGAUUUACUGGGCGUAAAGCGCACGUAGGCGGUUUGUUAAGUCAGGGGUGAAAUCCCGGAGCUCAACUCCGGAACUGCCUUGGAUACGGGGAAGAUAGAGUCCGGAAGAGGUAAGUGGAACUCCUAGUGUAGAGGUGGAAUUCGUAGAUAUUAGGAAGAACACCAGUGGCGAAGGCGGCUUACUGGUCCGGAACUGACGCUGAGGUGCGAAAGCGUGGGGAGCAAACAGGAUUAGAUACCCCUGUAGUCC
rnacentral:rRNA from 1 species